UUAGCUCUCUUUGCCAAGUGGCUAAGAUCAAGUGUAGUAUCUGUUCUUUUCAGUCUAAUCUCUGAAACGUGUCCUACGGGACACAUUUUUAAGAUUUUAUUCCUUUUUUGCAAACCGGUUCCGAGGCCGCUGAGCUCUGCUUAUUGUCUCAGGACCAUCGUGUCGAUGGUAUUGCACUGCCUCCUUCUGACGCGGGAUCAUC
rnacentral:snRNA from 1 species